GGCCGCCUGGCGAAAUGGCAUCGCGUCUGACUACGAUUGACUGGUGUGUCUCGUGAAUCAGGAGAUUGCAGGUUCGACCCCUGCGGUGGUCA